rnacentral:lncRNA from 1 species
CUGGUGUCUGAUGAGCUUUUGUUUAUGUAUAAAAAAAUUCACAACUAUUUGCAUUCUUGUUAAUGAUCAAUUAAUCUUUAAACAAUUAACUUUCCUUUAAACAUUUACUGCCAAACUUCUACAGCUAAAAAUAGCCAAGUCACUGAUUUCACAAUUUUAGAUUUUUCCAAACAUUUGAACAUUGAUUGCAAGUUUAAUCAGUGGAAUUUUUACAAGUCUGGUAUGAGAUUCGCUUAAACAUCUUGAAUAGAAGGAGAACACCAAUCCCGUCUCAACACCAUAUCUCUAGUCUGAUAAGGAAUAUUCCCACUGGUGCCGAAAUGACCAGUUGAUCUGUUUCCUUCCAUUAAACUGGUGAUAAACGGACAGGUGUCAUGACUGAUAGGCUGCAUUCCUUCCACCAGGUAAGACUGGACUAAGUUUGGAGGUUGGAAAUCCAGACCUGGAACAUGAGCCCUGAGGUUCUGUCAUGAAGGUCUGUGUGCCCUGCAGAUUCAUAUGUUGAAAUCCUGACCCUCAGUGGGAUGACAUUAGGAGGGGGAGCCUUGGAGAGGGGGGUCAGUCAUGAGGGUGGAGUCCCCACCGAUGGGAUGAGUGACCUUAGCACCCCCAGCCCCUUCCACCACGUAAGAACACCAUAAGAAGCUGUCAUCUAUGUGAACUCAGAAGCGUCCCUUAUCAGGCAAUGAAUCUCCCACUACCUUGAUCUUGGAUUCCCCAGCCUCCAGCCUCCAAAACUGUGAGGGAUGAACGUUUGUGGAGUCACGCUGUCUGUAGUGGGUUGGUUAGUUGGUUUGCUGGUCCUAGGGAUUGAACUCAGGGGCACUCUGCCACUGAGCUAUAUCCCCAGCCCUUUUUAUUUUUCAUUUAGAGACACAGGGUACCCUAAAUUGCUCAGGGCCUCACUAAGUUGCUGAGGCUGGCUUUGAACUUGCAGUCCUCCCAAGCUGCUGGGAUUAGGCGUGCGCCUGUCAGAGUGUCUUAUAUUUAUAGUUCAGCCUGGAAAACCUGUUUGAGAGUCAUGACAUUUUAAUAGGCUGGGAUAUGGGAUCACUCAGCAACUGUUUGUUCUGAGAUCUAGUCUGAUAAACAAUCGAGAAAUUUCCUAUCAUACAUGGGAAGAAGCCAGAUUUCCCAAUUUUCCUCUUGUUCUGGUGACGCUGUGUGGUUGUGGGUUUUUUCAGUUUUGUUUCGUGUUUCUUACUGGGGGUUAAACCCAGGGGCACUCUGUCACUGAGCUACACCCCAUCCCUUUUUAUUUUUCAUUUUUGAGACAGGGUCUCACUAAGUUGCCCAGACUGGACUUGAAUUUGCCAUCCUCCUGAGUGGCUGGGAUUAUAGGUGUGCACCUGGUGGGUUGUCUUUUCAACCUGAAAGUCACCCUCCAGGUCUGAAGCUGGUGGGGGUGGGGGUGGGGACACUUCGCAUCUCUCAGUAGCCACUGGCUGCACGCUCCAACUUCUAGUGUCUUUAGCACCAGCCACUCCCCAGUCACCUCAGACAGAAGUGACAUUCUCCCAGUAGGUUCUGCUUUCUUGCAAGUGGGAGCACCUGCUGUCUGCAGCCCCUCUGGGAGGGCUGCGUGGUUUACACAUGCUGCCAUGUUUCCAUAGGAGAACUUUAUGUGUGUGCAUGGGGUGGAGGGGACGGGGUCCUGGGGGUGGAAACCAGGGCCUAUCACAUGCUCAGUGUUGCUCCUCCCUGAGCCACAUCCCAGCCCCAAAGCACUCAAAAAAUGUCGUAAUUGAUAAUAACCUGUACAACAGGUGGCAGAUAAUCUUAAUUUAAAAUGCCCUGAAAUCUCAGGAGACUAAAGAGAGGUGAUCCCAAGUUUGAGGCCAGCCCAAGCAAUUUAGCUAGACCCUGUCUCAAAAUGAAAAAAAAAAAAAUUAAAAGAU